AUAGGUGAGUUUGGUGAUGGCUCUGAUUGAACGCUGUCCAAAUGCUUGACACAUGCUAAUCGUACGUUUAAUUUAUAGCUUUUCGGAUAUUAGUAUCUGAGCUCCAUUAUUUUAGGUAGUGGUGUAAUAUUUUAUCCCCUUUGGUCCCCUCCUAACGGAAGGACCAGAAGGGAACAAUAUAUUGAAGGUUUAUUAAAAGUGGUGUACAGGUGAGUGUAAGAUAUUCGGCCGACCUUGAAGAGAGGGAAAAUAAAUACCUCAUAAAUAAAAUAGUUUUUGACAGCUGUUUUUGGGUAAAGGGUGUAAAGCCGCUUUAAGAGGAAAAGGUAUCUGUCGGGAUAGGUAGUAGUUAAGGUAAUGGCUUAACUAGCCAAUAAUUCUCGGAGUCGAAGCUGAAAUGGUUGAUCGACCACAUUGGGAAUGAAAAAAUCCCAAGGCAUAAUUGUACAGCAGUGAGGAAUUUUGGUCAAUGGCCUAACGGCUGAACUGGCAACUUGGAUGAACGGACCGACUCUUACCCAAAGGUUACAUAAUUAUUCUUUUUUAUGUAACUAGUAGGGUAAGAGUGCAGGAGAUCUUUUUUAGGAGUAAAGUUCUAAAUAUAUGUUUGAUAAUGACAAUAUAUAUAUUAUGUCCUGACCAAUUACGUGCCAGCAGUCGCGGUAAUACGUAUGGGACUAGUGUUAUUCAUCUUAAAUAGGUUUAAAGGGUUCCUAGACGGCUAAUGCCACCUUUAAAAGGUAACUAGUUAGCUAGAGUUUUAUGUGAAGAGGUCGUACUUUUGAGUGGAGAGUUUAAAUUCUUUGAUACCUGGAGGACGGAUAAAGGCGAAGGCAACCUCUUAUGUAAAAACUGACGUUGAGGAACGAAGGCAUUGCGUCACGAAAAGGAUGUGCGAUCUGUAGUCUUUGAUUAGAACUGUUGACAAGAUAAUUAUAAAAAGUAGAUAUUAAGGGUAGGGUAAUUAUUGAUAUGUUGUGCAGUACCUUGUAAAUGAAUAUUUUUUUUUAUCUAAAUUCAACAAUGUAUUUCGUUUUACAUUAGUCUAUCUGGAUAUGCAUUAUGGGUAACCGUUUUGUAUAAAGCUCUAGAGAAAGUAUUCUUUAUAGAAUAUUGGCUUUCUUCUAUGGUUAGAGAAAUCGAAUCAAUGUAAUUAAAAUUUUGCUUAUCCUUAAAAGAUACAUUAUAGUGUAUAUAGUGAACUGGCAUUUAACGAGUCCUUGGUUAAAUGAAAACGAACGUGUAGUUAGUAAAAUAAAGUUGGAACCUAAGGAAGAGUUGUUCUAAUCAAGGAAAAGAGUAACACCUAUAAUUUGCAGGAGUGCGUCUUGCAGGGCUUAUUGUAAAGUAAGCUAUCGAUUAGAGGUGAAGGGACAAAGUAAAAAGCGAAUGCGAUUCUAUAAUGGAGUUGAUAGGGAUAUACCCGACUUGAAAGAGUGCUGACUUACUUAUGGAUGUUUUCUGUGCUUAUUUAAAAAUAUACUAAUUAAUUUAAAAAUCCUGAGCUUGUUAUCAUUUCUAAUAAAUAUAUUCAUAUUAUUGGUUCCAGUACACCUUUUAUCUACUACAUAUAAAUUAAAAUUUUAAAGUCCCCUUCGGUCUCGCGGAGACCUGGGUAGCCCCAUAAUUUAUUGAGGGGCUAGAUAUAAAAAUACUAAAUAAAUUAAAAAUCGUCUUUUGAGCAAUUUUUGUUAGCUAUUACAUUUGCAAAAAUGUACCAUUUCACCAACAUAAUCAAGAUAUUUCUACGAAUAUUGCCAUUAAUUUAGAUAAUUUUUAAUCUUGGGUUUAGCCUUCACUGACUCAAUAGGGGAGAUUGUCUAUAAAAAUAUUCUGAUAUUUUUGUUUAUUUAGGCUACACCUUCAUAAAGGUUUUUUCUGAUAUACUAGCCUAAGGACGUAGAUGUAGGCUUUAUGUUAGAUGAAAAGUAGCUAUGGAAUAAACCUUUUCCAUCACGGAAAUAUCCGUAGAUGCUUAUUUUUCUUUGGGAUAUUUUGGAAAUAAUUUGAUUAAAACUAAUAAUAUGAAAAAUUUAGAUAACAAUUGAAUAAGGUGAUUUACAGGUUUUUGCGAUGCGGAAGGUAAUUUCCAAGUGUACCCUAAAAAGCGUGUAUUAAAAUCAGGUGUGGUUAGCAAAUAUAAUGUAGGGUUAGGAUUUCAUCUUUCUUUGCAUAGCCGUGAUUCAGAACUUUUACAUGAUAUACAUGAGAAAUUAAAUCAUGUAGGAGUUUUUUAUGAGUUUAAAAACAGAAAUGAGGCUAGAAUAGCAGUUAACGAUCGUACAGGUUUAAGAGUAAUAGUUGAUGUUUUUAGUUUAUUUCCUUUGGUAACAAUUCACCAGUAUACUAGAUAUUGUUUAUUAAAAGAAUAUUUGGUAAAUGAUAUUAAAGAAUUUAAGACCUUAGAUGAAUUUAAUAUAUUUAAGGAUAAAUGCUUAGAUAAUAUUGAUUUGUCUUCAAAAGUGCUAUCUGGUUUAGAAAGUCAAAUAAAUUCUGGUUUACUUGAUAGUUGAAUAGUUGGACUUAUUAACGGAGAAGGUUGUUUUUAUUUAAAUAAAGGUAGAUGUAAUUUUUUUAUAGAACAUACGGAUUUACAAGCUUUAGAAAUAAUUAAAAAAAGAUUAGCAUUUAGCCCUAAAAUUGUAGCAAGAUCUCCUAGAGCACGUGAUGUAGGAAAAAAUAUAAAACCUACUUAUAUGUUAAUAGUCUCAAGUAAAAAGGAUAUAGAAAGUCUAAUUGAACUUUUGGAUUGUGAGCGUGUUGUUCCUUUAGCAGGUCAUAAGUUAAUGCAGUAUACUGAGUGAAAGCAGACGUGAUUUAAUAAGUAAUUAGUAUAAGUAAUUUGACGCAGUUAAUGUUUGAGCCGUAUGCCAUGAAAGUGGCACGUACGGUUCUGAGGGGGGGAAAGUCUGAGAGGACCUACCUAUCCCAACUAGGGACCCUAGUAGUCUUUGCAGAAAAUGAUGAGUGCCAUAGAUUAGGUUAAUUCUUGGUCUAUAAAUGAAAGUGUAAGCAUUCCACCUCAAGAGUAAUGCGGCAACGCAGGAACUGAAAAAUGAUAAAAAAAAAAUUAUUGGUAAGUUGUGAGGAAUUUGCCUAGUGGGUUUGAAUCCCACGUUAUGAACCGUUUUUACUAUGAAUAUUUUUAUUCAAAAAUUUACAAAUCUUUUAAGGCGCAGCCGUACUUUUUUUAGGCGCAGCCGUAUUUUAAAGCGUUGUAUAAUGGUUUUCUACCUAUUGUGUGCGCAAUGAUCUAAAUUAUUUAAAGAAGUACCAUUACCUACAUCUAAAUCCUUUGGCCGUGUUGGGCAAGGGCUCAUGGGUGUAUCUUCCUCAAGGAAACCAGCCUACUUAGUUAAUGCCGCAAGAAUACACAAUAGAAAGUAUAGCACAGCUAAAGUUAUAAAUAGUCGUAAUAACCUUGAUGCUAGUUUAUCAGAGUUUUAUCAAUGAUUCGUAGGAUUUUCAGAUGGAGAAUCUAGCUUCCAAAUUCAAGUUAGAUAUACAGAUGCUAGUAAAACAAUAGUGAGAGGAAUCAAUUUUUCAUUUACAAUUGCUUUACAUGUUGAUGAUUUAGCUAUACUUCAAUUUAUUAAGGAUAAAUUAGGGAUAGGGAAUAUUGUAGUUAAAAGAAGUGGAGAUGUUUGUGUGUUUACAGUUACUAAUAAGGAAGGGCUUUAUGAGUUAUUAUCUAUUUUUGAUAAAUAUAACCUUAAUACUACUAAAUAUCUUGAUUACCAGGAUUUUAGAAAGGCUUUUCUUUUAUAUCAUGAAAGAGAUGUUAAGGAAUACAAUAAGGAUAAAAAUAAAAUAAAAGAUCAAAUAGUUGAGCUAAAGAAUGGAAUGAAUAGUCAGCGUACUUUUUUUGAUAUGUUUAGGGUUUCACCGCGUGGAAAUAAAUUGGCUAUAACCAAAAGCUGACUAUUAGGGUUUAUAGAAGCUGAAGGGUCAUUUUUCAUUUCCCGAACAGAUAUAGAACCUAGUUUUUCAAUUGAACUUUCUAAAACUCAAUUAUUUUUAUUGGAAGCCAUAAAAGAAUUUUUAAUAGAUAGUUUAGGGUUUGAUAAAUAUUCUAUCCAUAGAUUAAAAAGCUCAACCUUUAACAUAUUUGCUGUUAACGAGCAGAAAGAAAAGCCUAGUGUUAUUUUUAUAGUAAAAAAUAUUCGUGUAUUAAAUAACUAUUUAGUUCCUUAUUUUAAUACUAUGGUGUUUAACUCUAAAAAAGGUAAAGAUUUUUUGGAUUGAAAACUUAUUUGUGAAGCCGUUUACAAGGGUUCUCAUAAAAAGGAGUCUAUUAGAGCGUUAAUACUAAGAUUAUCUUAUACUAUGAAUAGUUACCGUUUGUCAACUAAUUUAGCUAAAGGGUCAAUAGAGUCUCUUACUGAAAUAGAAAGAAAUACGGUGCGUGAAGCUCUACCUACCAUAGAGCACCUGGAAGAUGGAAGAUUACGAGAUGUUGAGACAGGACAAGUCACUAUAAAUAGAUCCUUGUGUGUAUAUGAAGUAAUUAGACCAGACGGAGAAAUUUUAAUUUUAGAUUCAUUUAAUGAUGUAUUAAAUAUAUUAGGUGUUGGUUUUAGAACACUUAAAAGACAUGUAAAUGAAGAUACAUUAGGGGAUGCAACUGAAUUCAGGGGUUAUAUAAUAAGAAGGGUAGCCGUGUUUCUGGAGUAAAUAAUAAAUAAAAAUAUAAGUAGUAAAAAUAAAUGUAUCUAGGUAAGAUUACAUUCGAAUAGAUAAUUAGGUUUAUAGCUAAUGGUGAAAACGGUCAAAGGUAUCCUAACCUAAGACCGUCGGCAGUUGUAAAUGUCGCUACAGACUGGAUCACCGGGGUUAGGCUGAAAUGUCUGUCCAAAUGUACAGUCGAACUCUCUAACGGGAAGUGCUCUAACCCGUAAGGAAGAAGGAUAGCUUAAAAGGCGCCAUUGCUCACAGUGGUAAUUAAUUCCUAAUGAAAUUUAUAAUAAAGCUAGAGUGCUCUCCACCGACUUCAUAUAUUUCUUAAUCAUAUGGGAAUAUAUGAACAAGGGGCCAAGCUGAGUUUUCUUAUAUAUUUUUUGAGAGUCGGAAUAAUAAAGAUUUUUUUUUGUUUCGUGUAUGAAAUAUUCAGUGUGGGUUCGAAUCCUACUCUAUAAGGUGUGUUUUAGUUAUGGCGGCACGCUAAUUUUAAUGAGCAGCCGCCGUAAAAGAAUCCCUGUUUUCAGCCCUUCGGUCCAGACACAGGGCCAUGGACCUGGGUCGAAGGAUGAAUUAAUUAAAAUGAGGAGCUAAGCAAGAUUACAAUCAAAUAGUUCUAUACUUAUAGAAAUUAGGUGAAAACGGUCAAAGGUAACCUCUACUCUAGACCGUCGGCAGUUGUAAAUGUCGCUACAGACUGGUUCACCGGGGUUAGGCUGAAAUGUCUGUCCAAAUGUACAGUCGGAUUCUGUAACGAGUGCAAUAUCGUAAGGAGGAAGGUUUAUCUUUAUCAUGCACGUUAGAUAGCCAGGUACACGCUGGCAAUAACUCCUAGUUAAUCAGGAUUGAAUCACUAGACCGUUUCUGACACCAGCAGUGAAGUAUGUGUGCGACAAGAAGUGAAUAUUAGUAAUGUGGUGAGAUUCCACCAGGUAUUUUCUCUACCUGACACUACCUACACAUGCAAAGCAGUAAUGGUUUGUGUGAAGCUGUAGGGACAAUGUAGCCUGCCUUAAAAGGCAAUGCAGAUAAUAAAAAUCUUCAGGAGCUAGUGUAAGUAAGAUAUGGAAAGCGAAAGUUAAAGUAGCAAUGACGCUUCGUAGUACUAGUUAAAUUGGAAGGUAAUAGGUUUUACAUACUAAUCUAUUAGAGAAACCGAAUUUCCGGCGAAGUAAAGCUACUUUCCUAAGUCUUAUGUUAUUUGUACUAAUAUUUGAACUUGGUAACUCCUUUAUUUUCAGUAAUGAAGAAAUUCAUUAAAGAGGUAACAUAUAAGAUAUAAGUCGAAAUUGUUAUAACGAAUAAAGGAGAGAGGAGAAGUUAAAAAGCAAAUGCUUGACUUAGAUUUCAAUUGAAGUAGAUCUAAGUUAUAGAUAAAGAUGUAAAUUUGGGCGUAAGCUCUUAUUGAUAAAAAGUUUAUGAGGGUAUUAAUUAAAUAAAGUUAAUUAGUUAAAUAUACUCAAGCUACGAUAGAUACCUAGGACGAAAUCUAAUAAAGACAAUAAGCUACGAAGGAUACCUGGACGUGAUCUUAUCAUAAUUAAUUAUGAUUUGUCUUUAAGUUUAUUUUAUUAAUUAGUAGUAAUAAUAUUUUUAAAUAUAUGUUAAAGUCGUGCUUAUUUAGUUUAUUAAAUAAGCAAGUUCUUAUUAAAAACCGACUUUCUUUCUUACUUUAGCUUAGUAUGUUUGCUUUUUAAUAGGUUAUAUUUAGGAAUAUUGUGCUGUGUAUUAGGUUAUAAUAAAGUAUAUUAGGGGUCUUCGCUGUGUAUUAUGUUGUCUUAAUGUUUAUAUAGAAAAACUAAGGGGGUUGUUUAUGAUAUCUUCAAAUUUAAAAAAUCAAAAAAAUAAAAAUUAUGUAGUUCCUGAGGUUGUCCAUUCUCCUGAAAAUAAUAAGAAAGAAUUUAAUUUAAAUCCGUGAUUUAUCACGGGGUUUGUUGAUGCGGAAGGUAGUUUUGCAGUAAAUAUUAUUAAAGAUGCUGGAAAAAGUUUAGGUUAUUUUGUUUUAGUUUAUUUUGAAAUAGCUGUUAAUGAAAAAGAUCGAGAUAUUUUAGUUGCAAUGCAAAAUUAUUUUGGUGCAGGUAAUAUAUUUUAUAAUUCUUUUGAUAACACCUGUAAAUUCAAAGUGUCAAGUUUAGAUGCUUUGAGUAAUGUAAUUAUUCCACACUUUAAACAAUAUUUUUUGUUAACUAAGAAACGAAGUGAUUUUGAAUUAUUUAGUCGUGUUGUAGAAAUAAUGGUAGGUGGAGAUCACCUAAAUCUUAAAGGUUUACAAGAAAUAGUUAAUCUUAAGGCUUCAUUAAAUUUAGGUUUGAGCGAUAAGUUAAAAGCUUAUUUUCCUGAAGCUUUACCUGCAGUUAGACCUGUUUUUAAUGUAUCAAGUAUCCCAGAUCCUCAUUGAUUAGCCGGAUUUGCUGAAGGUGAAUCUUGUUUUUAUAUUAGUAUUUAUAAAUCAGUUAAAUCUAAAUUAGGUUUAGCUGUACAAUUAGUAUUUAGAAUAACUCAACAUUCUAGAGAUAAAGAGUUAUUAAAGGUUAUAGCUCAAUUUUUAGAAUGUGGGAGAGUUGAGGAACGUUCAAGUGGGGGUGCUUGUGAUUUAGCAAUUAAUUCUAUUAAAGACUUUAAAAAUAAAGUUAUUCCUUUUUUUAGUAAAUAUCCUCUUCUUGGUACAAAAAGUUUAAAUUAUAUUGAUUUUGUAAAAGUUUUUGAGUUAAUGGAUACAAGAAAACAUUUAACAGAAGAAGGCUUAGCUACUAUAAAACAAAUUAGAGCUUGUAUGAAUACAGCUAGAAUUUAAAAUUGUAUCACAGGACUUAUUUCAUAAGCUAGUUCUUUAAUAAGGCUACGCUGACGCAAUAUGAGCUAGCUUAGAAAUAGUAAUGUGUUAUAUUUAGUAUCUAAUAAGUUUGAUGAGUUUGUGCCAUCAAUAAUCAAAAUUUACAUUUAUUAAGAUGAAAUUAUAUCUUAAUAUAGCUGACUUAACAUUCGGCAUAAAUUGGCAAAGAGGAUUAUUAAGUAUGUUAAGAUUUAAUCUUUUUUGCUUGGGGCGAUGGCUCCUGUAGUAAAUUUAUGUUUGAGCCGUAUGCGAUGAAAGUCGCACGUACGGUUCUUAGAGGGGGAAAGUUCGAGAGGACCUACCUAUCUCAACUGUUUAAUUCGAUGACCCACGAAAAAUCUUACCACAAUUUGAAUAGAAUAGAGUAAUAAAAACCCAAGAGUUUACCAAAUAUUAUUUUUUUAGUAAGGAUGAUAUCUAAAGUGUUCGUUCAUAGUUAUUAGAAAGGGAAUAUUUGAUCCUUGGAUGUUUUAGAAAGUUUAUUCAUACAAGUGUUGCACGGCUGUUUCCAGUUAAUGUUGUGAAACUGUGGCAAAAGCCAUGGAAUUAACGUAAACCUGAGCUUUAUUUGUGAAUAUAUUAUUUUGAUAAAGCUACAUCAUCUGCUAUAUUGGAUUUGAUAACAGGGACUAAGACAAGUCAUCAUGGCCUGCUGGAUGAAUUAGGAAUUCAUCUUUGUGGGUGAGACUAUCAAACUCCGGGAACAUCCUAAAACUUUUGGUACCAAACCAUAUAUGAAAAUAUAUUGGUGGAUGAACUAAUUAUUCAUGUACGGUAAUAAAUCAAAAGAUAAUCGAAAGAGCAAUGGAUUAUCGCGGAUCUAAAUCAAUUAUAAAUUAUAAACCCGCAAGCCAAAAUUUUAUAGUUGUAAAAGAGCAACGAGUAGACGGUAGUUGAUGCAAUAAUAAUUUAUUGCGUUUAAGGUGUAUUCUAAUGGGUUUCGAAAGAAAUUAUCAAGUCAAAAUCCUUUCUAACCAAAUAAAUAAUUUAAGAAGGUAUACUUCAAUCACAACCCACAAGCCAACGAAUACUUCUUCUAUUUUUAAUCCUUGAUUUAUAACAGGAUUUUCUGAUGCGGAAUGUUCUUUUUCUAUAUUAAUUCAGGCUAAUAGUAAGUAUAGUACAGGUUGAAGAAUUAAACCUGUAUUUGCUAUUGGUCUUCAUAAAAAAGAUCUAGAGCUAUUAAAAGGUAUUCAAUCUUAUUUAGGUGUAGGAAAAAUUCAUAUUCACGGUAAAGAUUCUAUACAGUUUCGUGUAGAUUCUCCUAAAGAAUUAGAAGUGAUUAUAAACCACUUUGAAAAUUAUCCACUGGUAACUGCUAAAUGAGCUGAUUAUACUUUAUUUAAGAAAGCUUUGGAUAUAAUUCUACUUAAAGAACAUUUAUCUCAAAAAGGUUUAUUGAAAUUAGUAGGUAUUAAAGCUUCACUUAAUUUAGGUCUUAAUGGUUCUUUAAAAGAAGCCUUUCCUAAUUGAGAAGAGUUACAAAUAGAUAGACCUAGUUAUGUUUUUAAGGGUAUUCUUGAUCCUAAUUGGAUAGCGGGAUUUGCUAGUGGUGAUAGUAGCUUUAAUGUAAAAAUAAGUAACUCUCCUACUAGUUUAUUAGAUAAAAGAGUUCAAUUAAGAUUUGGAAUAGGUUUAAAUAUUAGAGAAAAGGCUUUAAUUCAAUAUUUAGUUGCUUACUUUGAUUUGAGUGCUAAUUUAAAAAAUAUUUAUUUUAAUGUAAAUUCUGCUAGAUUUGAAGUUGUUAAAUUUUCAGAUAUAACAGAUAAAAUAAUUCCUUUUUUUGAUAAUUAUUUAAUACAAGGUAAAAAAAAUUUAGAUUAUAUUUAUUUCAAAAAGGUAGCUGAUAUUAUUAAAAGUAAAAAUCAUUUAACAUCAGAAGGUUUUCAGGAAAUUUUGGAUAUUAAAGCUAGAAUGAAUAAAUAAUUAUUAGGAUUGAGUAUAUUUAAUUAUUUUAUUUGUUUGUACGAUAAAUUUGAUCGCUAUGUAAUAUUGUGGGCUAAAGACGUGCCACAUAUUCCUUAACAAAGAGAUGCGAAAUAGCGAUAUUGAGCUAAUCUCAAAAAAGAGGGUAAAAAAUAUAUGGAUUGUAGCCUGAAACUCGGCUGCAUGAAUAAGAAAUUGCUAGUAAUCGUGAAUCACCAUGUCACGGUGAAUAAAACCUUGGAUUGGUACUAACCACUCGUCACAUGCUGAAAGGAGUAUGCGCAAUAAGUUUGCUUUCUUAUUUUAAAUCCAUAGUAAUGAUAGGAUUACAUUUUUUUAAUAGGAUUCUUCGUAUGCGUGACUCUAAUUAGUGUUAAGUCGAAAUAUGGUUCGGGUAGUGGAAGUUGCCCGGGGUUGAUUAACCAUU
rnacentral:rRNA from 1 species